UUUUUCUUCGCACAAUUUUCCGGUAAUCCCUAUAAAUAUCGACUUACGAAGGUUGCACUGUAUGGGCCGCCGUCGACAUUUCUGUUGAUGGAUUAAAUCCGUUAAAUCCCAGUAGCUUCACGACUUCUCACUUCAGAUACGCGUUCUUACUGCCACGAUUCUGGGAGGGAUGACCAGUACAACCUACACGGAGAAAACAGAAAAUACUAGUUUGCGUAGUUUUUAUUGCAUUCUCAAUAUAUUCAGUUUUUAUGCAUUGCACAGCAUUUUACUUUAUACUUUCUAGUGCAUAUCUGAAAUAUAUUUUUCACCGUGCAUUUAGGGCUGCGUUGUUUACUCUCGGGACUUAACAAAAUUUUGCUCUGUUUCGGUUGCGUCAGUUUCAGUUCAGUCACAAAAAGCAAUAAUUAGGUAUUUGUUGCUGAAUUUGUCGGUUAAUUUUAGUGAUAUUGGCAAUUUGGAGCUUUUGAUCUAGAUUGUGUACACACAGUGGCUUCCGGAGAAAACCGGAUUGGUGGAAGAUCGAUGAAUUCCAGAAAAGAAUCAGUACGGAUAUCAGGAGAGACUUCAAUGGAAACUUAAAAAAUUAGACUUCCUGUUGCCUUCCACCUCAUGACCGAUCCAUAACUUUUCCCGGAGCUGAGCUCGUCAGACAACCAGAGAUGGCAAAACGGAUCUACGCCAUAAGUUCGGCGGCAGUUUUUCCAGCAUGAUGACAAAAGUUCCGGCAGUAACAUAAUAAGAACGAGUCCGCAACGGAAGACAGUUUUUCGACACCAAAACGAGCAAAACCUAGGAAGUGAAGGAUUCGUAUUGCCAACUAUGCUGCAUUAUUGUUUAGCACAUUCAGUGCGGAUACUUAAAUUUAUGAUAAAAAGCCGAUGAACUUAUUGCGGGAGGUUUAAUAAACAUGAUGAAAAAUUCGUUGACCUUUA